GAACACUAGUAUAACACUGGUAUAGCUAGGAGGAGAAAUUGGUAAUAGUGUGUGAGUACCUUGUUUUUGUCCAAAUAUGGAAACACCAGUUUGUCCUGAUUUCUGUGUCUGAAAGAUGACACAAAGGAUACAUUUGACUUUGUGUACCUGCCAAGGACUGACUCCUGUCUGUUAUUGCCAGGACUGUAAGAAUGAGGAAGCGUGUCGAGGAGACCUGCAAUAGUCAGGGAAACCUUUCCCACAGUGACAGAGCUUGAAAUGAAUCUUGAAAGGUCCUCUCUUCUAUCUGCACUUCCUGCCUGCCAUGGGUUGAACACAUUUUUCUUAGCCAUGACUUCUCCGCCAUCUUGUUUCUGCCAUGGAACCAGCUGACCAGGAACUGAAACUGUGAGCCAAAAUA